CUCCAUCUUUUCAGAUGGGGGAUUUAGCACGAGACAAAAGGGUUCCAGUCCUAGAGGCCAAAACAGAUAACAAAUGUCCACUAUGGCCUUUUCUACAAGCAAGUCAGCAACUAAGACUGCGGCAGAUUAGGGACAACUGCUACAAAGGACCUGUGUAGGGCACGGUGAUGGGAGGAAUCGAACUCAUGACCUCAAGCUUGCCAGG